UCCCUGGUGGUCCAGUGGCCUAAGACGCUGUGCUGCCAAUGCAGGAGACCCAGGUUCAAUCCCUGGUCGGGAAA
rnacentral:tRNA from 1 species